CCCGGGCUAAAGUCCCGACGGGAGGGGAUGGCUCCGCGGCCCAUCAGGUAGACGGCGGGGUGACGGCCCACCGUGCCGACAACGGGUAGCCGGGUUGAGAGACCGACCGGCCAGAUUGGGACUGAGACACGGCCCAGACUCCUACGGGAGGCAGCAGUGGGGAAUCUUGCGCAAUGGGGGGAACCCUGACGCAGCGACGCCGCGUGCGGGACGGAGGCCUUCGGGUCGUAAACCGCUUUCAGCAGGGAAGAGUCAAGACUGUACCUGCAGAAGAAGCCCCGGCUAACUACGUGCCAGCAGCCGCGGUAAUACGUAGGGGGCGAGCGUUAUCCGGAUUCAUUGGGCGUAAAGCGCGCGUAGGCGGCCCGGCAGGCCGGGGGUCGAAGCGGGGGGCUCAACCCCCCGAAGCCCCCGGAACCUCCGCGGCUUGGGUCCGGUAGGGGAGGGUGGAACACCCGGUGUAGCGGUGGAAUGCGCAGAUAUCGGGUGGAACACCGGUGGCGAAGGCGGCCCUCUGGGCCGAGACCGACGCUGAGGCGCGAAAGCUGGGGGAGCGAACAGGAUUAGAUACCCUGGUAGUCCCAGCCGU
rnacentral:rRNA from 1 species